rnacentral:rRNA from 1 species
GAUGAACGCUGGCGGCGUGCCUAAUACAUGCAAGUCGAGCGAACAGAUGAGGAGCUUGCUCCUCUGACGUUAGCGGCGGACGGGUGAGUAACACGUGGAUAACCUACCUAUAAGACUGGGAUAACUUCGGGAAACCGGAGCUAAUACCGGAUAAUAUAUUGAACCGCAUGGUUCAAUAGUGAAAGACGGUUUUGCUGUCACUUAUAGAUGGAUCCGCGCCGCAUUAGCUAGUUGGUAAGGUAACGGCUUACCAAGGCAACGAUGCGUAGCCGACCUGAGAGGGUGAUCGGCCGCACUUGAACGGAGACACGGUCCAGACUCCUACGGGAGGCAGCAGUAGGGAAUCGUCGGCAAUGGGCGAAAACAUGGCAGAGCAACGCCGCGUGAGUGAUGAAGGUCUUCGGAUCGUAAAACCCGGUUAUUAGGGAAAAACAAAUGUGUAAGUAACCAUGCACGGCUUGACGGUAACUAAUCAGAAAGCCACGGCUAACUACGUG